GUGCCAGCCGCCGCGGUAAUACGGAGGGGGCAAGCGUUGUUCGGAUUUACUGGGCGUAAAGGGCUCGUAGGCGGCCACCUAAGUCGGUUGUGAAAUCCCUCGGCUCAACCGGGGAACUGCGACCGAUACUGGGUGGCUUGAAGCCGGGAGAGGGAUGCGGAAUUCCAGGUGUAGCGGUGAAAUGCGUAGAUAUCUGGAGGAACACCCGUGGCGAAGGCGGCAUCCUGGACCGGUCUUGACGCUGAGGAGCGAAAGCUAGGGUAGCAAACGGGAUUAGAUACCCCGGUAGUCCUAGCCCUAAACGAUGAAUGCUUGGUGUGGCGGGUAUCGAUCCCUGCCGUGCCGGAGCUAACGCGUUAAGCAUUCCGCCUGGGGAGUACGGUCGCAAGGCUGAAACUCAAAUGAAUUGGCGG
rnacentral:rRNA from 1 species